rnacentral:rRNA from 1 species
AACGAACGCUGGCGGCAGGCUUAACACAUGCAAGUCGAGCGCCCCGCAAGGGGAGCGGCAGACGGGUGAGUAACGCGUGGGAACGUACCUUUUGGUUCGGAACAACUCCGGGAAACUGGAGCUAAUACCGGAUAAGCCCUAACGGGGAAAGAUUUAUCGCCGAAAGAUCGGCCCGCGUCUGAUUAGCUAGUUGGUGAGGUAACGGCUCACCAAGGCGACGAUCAGUAGCUGGUCUGAGAGGAUGAUCAGCCACACUGGGACUGAGACACGGCCCAGACUCCUACGGGAGGCAGCAGUGGGGAAUAUUGGACAAUGGGCGCAAGCCUGAUCCAGCCAUGCCGCGUGAGUGAUGAAGGCCUUAGGGUUGUAAAGCUCUUUUGUCCGGGAAGAUAAUGACUGUAUCGGAAGAAUAAGCCCCGGCUAACUUCGUG